ACUCCUACGGGAGGCAGCAGUGGGGAAUAUUGCACAAUGGGCGCAAGCCUGAUGCAGCCAUGCCGCGUGUAUGAAGAAGGCCUUCGGGUUGUAAAGUACUUUCAGUCAGUGAGGAAGGAUGGGUAUGUUAAUAGCAUACUCAUUUGACGUUAGCUGCAGAAGAAGCACCGGCUAACUCCGUGCCAGCAGCCGCGGUAAUACGGAGGGUGCGAGCGUUAAUCGGAAUUACUGGGCGUAAAGCGCAUGCAGGUGGUUUGUUAAGUCAGAUGUGAAAGCCCGGGGCUCAACCUCGGAAUUGCAUUUGAAACUGGCAAAACUAGAGUACUGUAGAGGGGGGUAGAAUUUCAGGUGUAGCGGUGAAAUGCGUAGAGAUCUGAAGGAAUACCGGUGGCGAAGGCGGCCCCCUGGACAGAUACUGACACUCAGAUGCGAAAGCGUGGGGAGCAAACAGGAUUAGAUACCCUGGUAGCUACGAGU
rnacentral:rRNA from 1 species